rnacentral:rRNA from 1 species
CUCCGGUUGAUCCCGCCGGACCCGACUGCUAUCAGAGUGGGACUAAGCCAUGCGAGUCAACAUAGCAAUAUGUGGCAUACGGCUCAGUAACACGUAGUCAACAUGCCCAGGGGACGUGGAUAACCUCGGGAAACUGAGGAUAAACCGCGAUAGGUCAUCACUUCUGGAAUGGGUAAUGACUUAAAUCUAUAUGGCCCCUGGAUUGGACUGCGGCCGAUCAGGCUGUUGGUGAGGUAAUGGCCCACCAAACCUGUAACCGGUACGGGCUCUGAGAGGAGGAGCCCGGAGAUGGGCACUGAGACAAGGGCCCAGGCCCUAUGGGGCGCAGCAGGCGCGAAACCUCUGCAAUAGGCGAAAGCUUGACAGGGUUACUCUGAGUGAUUUCCGUUAAGGAGAUCUUUUGGCACCUCUAAAAAUGGUGCAGAAUAAGGGGUGGGCAAGUCUGGUGUCAGCCGCCGCGGUAAUACCAGCACCCCGAGUGGUCGGGACGUUUAUUGGGCCUAAAGCAUCCGUAGCCGGUUCUACAAGUCUUCCGUUAAAUCCACCUGCUUAACAGAUGGGCUGCGGAAGAUACUAUAGAGCUAGGAGGCGGGAGAGGCAAGCGGUACUCGAUGGGUAGGGGUAAAAUCCGUUGAUCCAUUGAAGACCACCAGUGGCGAAGGCGGCUUGCCAGAACGCGCUCGACGGUGAGGGAUGAAAGCUGGGGGAGCAAACCGGAUUAGAUACCCGGGUAGUCCCAGCUGUAAACGAUGCAGACUCGGUAAUGAGUUGGCUUAUUGCUAACUCAGUGCCGCAGGGAAGCCGUUAAGUUUGCCGCCUGGGGAGUACGGUCGCAAGACUGAAACUUAAAGGAAUUAGCGGGGGAGCA